rnacentral:rRNA from 1 species
ACACAGCAUUGUGUGUUGGGCCCCGUAUUUUGAUCCCGGGGGACGGGCCCGAAAGGCAGCGGGGGCACCGCGUCCGGUCCUCGAGCGUAUGGGGCUUUGUCACCCGCUCUGUAGGCCCGGCCGGCGCUUGCCGAUCAAACCAAAUUUUUAUCCAGGUUGACCUCGGAUCAGGUAGGGAUACCCGCUGAACUUAAGCAUAUCAAUAAGCGGAGGAAAAGAAACCAACAGGGAUUGCCCCAGUAACGGCGAGUGAAGCGGCAAGAGCUCAAAUUUGAAAGCUGGCUCCUUCGGGGUCCGCAUUGUAAUUUGUAGAGGAUGCUUCGGGAGCGGUCCCCAUCUAAGUGCCCUGGAACGGGACGUCAUAGAGGGUGAGAAUCCCGUAUGGGAUGGGGUGUCCGCGCCCGUGUGAAGCUCCUUCGACGAGUCGAGUUGUUUGGGAAUGCAGCUCUAAAUGGGUGGUAAAUUUCAUCUAAAGCUAAAUAUUGGCCGGAGACCGAUAGCGCACAAGUAGAGUGAUCGAAAGAUGAAAAGCACUUUGAAAAGAGAGUUAAAAAGCACGUGAAAUUGUUGAAAGGGAAGCGCUUGCGACCAGACUCGCUCGCGGGGUUCAGCCGGCAUUCGUGCCGGUGUACUUCCCCGCGGGCGGGCCAGCGUCGGUUUGGGCGGUCGGUCAAAGGCCCUCGGAAGGUAACGCCCCUAGGGGCGUCUUAUAGCCGAGGGUGCAAUGCGACCUGCCUAGACCGAGGAACGCGCUCGGCUCGACGCGCAUAGUACG